AUAAAUUUAAGUUAAAAAAACUAGCUAUUUUUCAAGUAGCAAAUGCCCGCAAGCAAUUUUUG
rnacentral:tRNA from 1 species